rnacentral:rRNA from 2 species
CUCCUACGGGAGGCAGCAGUGGGGAAUUUUGGACAAUGGGCGCAAGCCUGAUCCAGCCAUGCCGCGUGAGUGAAGAAGGCCUUCGGGUUGUAAAGCUCUUUCAGUUGGGAAGAAACGAUUGCAACUAAUAAUUGUAAUUAAUGACGGUACCGACAGAAGAAGCACCGGCUAACUACGUGCCAGCGCCGCGGUAA